GAUGAACGCUGGCGGCGUGCCUAAUACAUGCAAGUCGAGCGAAUGGAUUAAGAGCUUGCUCUUAUGAAGUUAGCGGCGGACGGGUGAGUAACACGUGGGUAACCUGUCCAUAAGACUGGGAUAACUCCGGGAAACCGGAGCUAAUACCGGAUAACAUUUUGAAACGCAUGGUUCGAAAUUGAAAGGCGGCUUCGGCUGUCACUUAUGGAUGGACCCGCGUCGCAUUAGCUAGUUGGUGAGGUAACGGCUCACCAAGGCAACGAUGCGUAGCCCACCGUGGCGGGUGAUCGGCCACACUGGGGCUGAGACACGGCCCAGACUCCUUCGGGAGGCAGCAGUAAGUGAUUGUCCGUAAUGGACGAAAGUCUGACGGAGCAACGCAGCGUGAGUGAUGAAGGCUUUCGGGUCGUAAAACUCUGUUGUGAGGGAAGAACAAGUGCUAGUUGAAUAAGCUGGCACCUUGAUGGUACCUAAGCAGAAAGCCACGGCUAACUACGUGCCAGCCGCCGCAGUAA
rnacentral:rRNA from 1 species